rnacentral:rRNA from 1 species
GACGAACGCUGGCGGCGUGCCUAAUACAUGCAAGUCGAGCGAACCCGGGGUGCUUGCACCCUGAGGGUUAGCGGCGGACGGGUGAGUAACACGUGGGGAACCUGCCUUGCUGUCUGGGAUAACACCGGGAAACCGGUGCUAAUACCGGAUGUCCCCUUUCCGGCACCUGCCGGAGAGGGAAAAGGCGGCUUUGAGCCGCCGCAGCAAGAGGGGCCCGCGGCGCAUUAGUUAGUUGGCAGGGUAACGGCCUCCCAAGGCGACGAUGCGUAGCCGGCCUGAGCGGGUGAUCGGCCACACUGGGACUGCGACACGGCCCAGACUCCUACGGGGGGCAGCAGUAGGGAAUCAUCCGCAAUGGACGAAAGUCUGACGGUGCGACGCCGCGUGGGUGAUGAAGGUUUUCGGAUCGUAAAGCUCUGUUGUGAGGGAAGAAUAGGAUGGGGAGGAAAUGCCCGAUCUGUGACGGUACCUCACCAGAAAGCCCCGGCUAACUACGUGCCAGCCGCCGCCGUAA